rnacentral:rRNA from 1 species
GACGAACGCUGGCGGCGUGCUUAACACAUGCAAGUCGAACGGAAAGGCCCUGCUUUUGUGGGGUGCUCGAGUGGCGAACGGGUGAGUAACACGUGAGUAACCUGCCCUUGACUUUGGGAUAACUUCAGGAAACUGGGGCUAAUACCGGAUAGGAGCUCCUGCUGCAUGGUGGGGGUUGGAAAGUUUCGGCGGUUGGGGAUGGACUCGCGGCUUAUCAGCUUGUUGGUGGGGUAGUGGCUUACCAAGGCUUUGACGGGUAGCCGGCCUGAGAGGGUGACCGGCCACAUUGGGACUGAGAUACGGCCCAGACUCCUACGGGAGGCAGCAGUGGGGAAUAUUGCACAAUGGGCGGAAGCCUGAUGCAGCAACGCCGCGUGCGGGAUGACGGCCUUCGGUUUGUAUACCGCUUUCGCCUGUGACGAAGCGUGAGUGACGGUAAUGGGUAAAGAAGCACCGGCUAACUACGUG